UACGAAAGGUGCAAGCGUUACUCGGAAUCACUGGGCGUAAAGCGCACGUAGGCGGACUCGUAGGUCAAUUGUGAAAUACCUGGGCUCAACCCGGGAACUGCAGUUGAAACCGCUUGUCUUGAAUACCUGAGAGGGUGGGGGAAUACCUGGUGGAGCGGUGAAAUGCGUUGAUAUCGAUAGGAACUCCGGUGGCGAAGGCGGCAUACUGGUCCACUUCUGACGCUGAGGCGCGAAAGCCAGGGGAGCAAACGGG
rnacentral:rRNA from 1 species